rnacentral:tRNA from 1 species
GCGUCAGUAGCUCAAAGGCAGAGCAUCCGGCUUCUACCCGGAGGAUGCGGGCUCGAAACCCGUCUGGCGCUCCA